AUACGUCAUCCUCAAUCCUGCUAGUUUCUUGAGAAGAAAUACCCAUCCCUGUUUGAGACACAGUGCUUGCUCUUAACUCAAGCAAGAGAAGUUCUGAAGCAAACCAAACGCGCACACCCUCGUGCUCUUGCACACAUAUUAAGAGAGAACUGAGCCUUCUGAUUUGAGGUAUGUGUGCUCCUUGGGAGAACACUGCGUCACAAUAGCCUCAUUCUUCCUGGUUUUAACUGUGUAAAAGUUCGAUUCUGCAGACUGGGAAGCAGCAGGCAUUGGAAAUAUAUCAAAAUCCCCAAUGGGUAACAACGUGUUACCCCUUACAGUCUGUGAGUGGGACAUACAUAUCCUUCCAAAAGAAGAAACUUACAAAAAACUUAGAUACAUCGCAACUUCAGGCCUCUGAGUAUCAGGGCUACAGACGCACAAAUGUCAGCUUCCUAAGUGGAGGCCUGGAACAUCUGUGACUUUAGAGGGCUGAGGAACAAGUUUAACAUCGUAGAAUUGGGCCUAUUAAAAUUUGUGAAGCUUUAAUGUUUGUGCAAGACUGAGGGGAAGUUGUCACAUUGUCUUGCUGGCUUCCAAGCACACCUAGCUUCCAUUGUGCUCACUAAGCAGCACACGCCUUCUCUUAGUGGUGGCUUGCUCAAGAAGUGCCUCAGGGCAACUAUCCUAAUUAGAAUCUAAUGAUGGUUCCCUCAUCUAAUCCCUAUUGAGCUGCUGUUAGUGCCAGGCACUGUGGUGAGCACUGGGGACAGAGCAGAGAAGCCAAUGGAGAGUCCCAGUCCUCUCACUUUACUAUGUUGAUUGGUGUGUGGUACCCAUGGUAUUGUAGCUAGGCAUGGUAGUUAGUGCUUUUCACCGUGUUUCCUAUGGAGUGCUUCCAAUGUAUUUGGAGGGAGGAAGCAGUCCAACUCUGGCCGGCUCUUCGAGUCUGGGAGGGUGCAGGGGGGCUCUUGCCUCAUGCGUACUGUGCUACAUGCACUUGGAGCAUAUGUCUCCUCUCUGUUUCCUGAACCCUGUUCUGUGGGAGCCCAUUGGUGAGGCUGAGUGUGGUGAAGCCAGAACAUGACCCAAGCAGAAUAUGCCAAGGGUAUUCACUGCUGGACCUCUGUUUUUAGACAGCUCAAUGGCAAACUCAGUGUGGUGCUGAUGACAUACUCAUUUCUGGUUUAGGUCAACACUCCAGUUCAUUGGGCAUGGUAUUAUCAAGGCCAAGUUGCAAAGUCUGAUUCCCCAGCAAGAUCAGUCAACUUUAGGAAUGUCUAAGAACUAUACCCACGAGUGGCCACCCCCUUGCUAGUCUGUACUUAUAACAGAAAGAUGGGCAAGACUCUGCUGAUGGGAAACUCUAACUCUUGCUGGAAAAUCAGUUCCAGGUUUGCUCUUCACAGAAGGCAACACUCAACUUGCUAUUUGCAUGCCUAGUGUCUAUUUCUAAUCAUCCCAGUGUCACAGUGGUCGACUCUAAGUCACUUCUGAACUGUCCCUAUUUAUGAUACAGCUGAACAUUAAUGGGGAACAAGGAAAGACCAAAUGUAAUCUCGAUUAUAAGAUAAUUUUAAUAACCUAUUUGUAGUCAUUUCUACUUAUGACAUUCCUCUUUAGAGCUGUUAACAAAUACCAAGAUGGAUUGAGUCAAUUCUUUCUCUCUUCUAUUAUUCCCUUCAUAGAAACAUAACUGGAUAUUUGUGAUUUAGCUGUAUCAUUUAAAAAACUUUUUUUGUAUAAAUCUAUUGAAUUUUCAGAAUUCCAAACAAAUUUUCGUUGCUGCACCUACUUUAAAAGUCAGAUUUAUAAGAAGAAGCAUGUGGUAGGAGCUCGUUUCUGUGUGACCAUAAUCGUGGGUGGUGGGUUAAGCAUAACAAAUGUUAAUAAAGGGUGCCAAAUUUGGUAAGGGUUAAAGAAGGCAAAAAAAGUGAAGUCACCCCUACACUACUUUUAAAUUAAGAGAGACAGGCGAAAGAAGGAUGAGGAAGUGAACAGAGCCUUUGGUCACUCAUUGAGCAUUUUUUGAUUCAUUGAAUGACAAAUGUUGGCUUACUUACUAUGGUAAACCUCUGUAUCUAUUUUCAAAUGUUUAAUACGAAUUUUCUUUUGUAAAUUUUGCUUUCCUUAGGACAAUGGUGAAGAAGUCAUCAAAAACAGGAUGUUUGUUCUGGUAAACGUUCUGUAUAUCUAAGUGUGUAUUUAGAAUUUUUAUUAUAUUAUUCUGGGAUAAUGUUCAGGAAUGAACAAGGAGGAGGUAGUGUGUGAUGAAAAAGGAAAGUAUAUCUAACAUCUGGGGCUUUUAACACCCAAACUAACAUCCUUAAAUUUGGACUUUGUGAAGUGUUUUUCAGUUUCUCAAUCUAUUAUGCCUAUUAUGGUACCUGGGCAAUCACGGUGAAGGAAAUUGAUCAUGUACCUUCAGAGUUACGCUGUGUGUGGAUAAUGCUAGAAGUUUCCCUACCUUUAAGACAGAUGCGACCACAAGAACAGAUUCACAGUCCAGGUUGGAAUUCUCGGCUG